rnacentral:rRNA from 1 species
UACGGGGGGAGCAAGCGUUGUUCGGAUUUACUGGGCGUAAAGGGCGCGUAGGCGGCCACCGCAAGUCAAUUGUGAAAUCUCCGGGCUUAACUCGGAAAGGUCAACUGAUACUGCGGGGCUAGAGUGCGGAAGGGGCAACUGGAAUUCUCGGUGUAGCGGUGAAAUGCGUAGAUAUCUGGAGGAACACCGGUGGCGAAGGCGGCGAUCUGGCCCAACAUUGACACUGAGACUCGAAAGUGCGGGGAUCAAACAGG